UUUAAACUAGGGAUUGAUACCCUAUUAUUUUUWUUAARUUAAAUUUUAAUUAUUUAUUAAAUGUAAAGCMUUWAAAAUWAAAAAUUUGGCGGUACUUAAUAUUUAGAGGAACUUGUUUGUUAAAUUGAUWGUCCMCGAAUGGAAGAACUUAAUUUGAUAAUUUUAUGUAUUGUUGUUGAAAAAUUGUAUUAAGAGAUAAAAAUUAAAAAAUUUAAUUUAAUUAUAAUUCAAAUCAAAAUGUAGAAUAAUUAAGAAUUUAAAUGAGUUACGAAUUAAAUAAAUCAAUUGAAUUUUAUAAUUUAAUUUAUAAAUGAGAAAUGGAUUUAAGAGUAAAUUAUAAAAAAUAUAUGAAUGGA
rnacentral:rRNA from 1 species